rnacentral:rRNA from 1 species
CGCCUGUUUAACAAAAACAUGGCCUUUUGAAUUUAAUUUAAGGUCUGACCUGCCCAGUGAUGAAUUUAACGGCCGCGGUAUAUUGACCGUGCAAAGGUAGCAUAAUCAUUAGUCUUUUAAUAGAGGGCUGGAAUGAAUGGUUUAACGAGGAACUAGCUGUCUCAUUUUAUUUGUUUUAGAAUUUAAUUUUUUAGUUAAAAAGCUAAAAUUUUAUUGGAAGACGAGAAGACCCUAUAGAUCUUUAUAUAAUUUUAUUUAUUUAUUUAUAUAUUAAUGUAAUUAUAUUUAAAUUAUAUUUUGUUGGGGUGACAAAAAUAUAUAAUUAACUUUUUCAUUUAUUUACCAUUUAUAUAUGAGUAUUAGAUCCAUUUUUAGUGAUUGUUAGAAUAAGUUACCUUAUGGAUAACAGCG